UACAGAGGUCCCAAGCGUUGUUCGGAUUCAUUGGGCGUAAAGGGUGCGUAGGCGGCGCGGUAAGUCGGGUGUGAAAUCUCGGAGCUUAACUCCGAAACCGCAUUCGAUACUGCCGUGCUUGAGGACUGGAGAGGAGACUGGAAUUUACGGUGUAGCGGUGAAAUGCGUAGAUAUCGUAAGGAAGACCAGUGGCGAAGGCGGGUCUCUGGACAGUUCCUGACGCUGAGGCACGAAGGUCAGGGGAGCAAACGGG
rnacentral:rRNA from 1 species